rnacentral:rRNA from 1 species
UACAGGGGGUGCAAGCGUUGUCCGGAAUGAUUGGGCGUAAAGCAUCUGUAGGUGGUUUUUAAAGUCAACUGUUAGAUCCCAGAGCUCAACUUUGGACAAGCAGUUGAGUACUUAAAGACUCGAGUAUGGUAGGGGCAGAGGGAAUUCCUAGUGGAGCGGUGAAAUGCACAGAGAUUAGGAAGAACACCAGUGGCGAAAGCGCUCUGCUGGGCCAUGACUGACACUGAGAGAUGAAAGUUAGGGGAGCGAAAAGG